UCUUUAGGGACCUGUGGGUGGACUCUAAGAGGACAGAGCCCUCAUACCACAGAAGAAAGCAGGUGGAGCCAGUGCUGGUGGGGACGGAGGUUGGAUGCCUUUCUCCCAUCCCAUCUCACUGUAUAAAAAUGCUUCAGUGUGAUGGGGCAAGAGGACUGUCAAUCCUGGACUCAAAAGGUGGGGCUACAUUCUGGUUGCAGCAGCAUUGCCUAAGGUUUCAUUAGACUCUUGAAAGUUACGUUGUUGCUCUCUGUGAUGUUCUCUAUUAUGUGGCAUGCUUCUUACUGAAGUUAGUUCCUGGAGCACACUCACACGAAACAACUUGACACAUCAACACUAAAAAGAAGCUGUGUGCCUCCAGAGGAAUGCUCUGCCCUGCCUUGUAGAUUCAGCACAGUGUGGGGCUUUAAAGGCCUCACUAGUAACUAGGUGUUAGCUGUGCCUGCCUCUCUAAUGAAUUACUUCCUCCAGAACUUAUAUAGCAAGGAUAUUCUUGGGAGGUUGCAGGGAAACAUAGUAUGGUCAGAUUAUGCAGAUACUAGGUGAACUUGUUUCUAAAAGUAUUUCAGUCAUGAUAUUUAGUUAAUUAAAUCCUUUUUUUUGUAAGCAAUAACCUCUAAGCAUUUGUUUUUACUUUAUUUUAAAAUAUAAUUUAAAAUCCUUAUCUGGAGGCACUGACAGUGGUAUCACAUGGCUUUUCAAGAUAGGUUUAGUUUUGUUCUGUUUUAUGGCAAGUGAGCUUGUUUAUUGUUUUCUUUUCAGCAAUAGUAGGCAUGGAUUUCCAACCAAGAGAUGACUUUUAACUGUUUUCCAAUUAGAACAUAACUUUAAAAAUGUACAUUUAAUUGCUUCUAGACUUAGUGGCUCAGUGACGGUCAAAAAUCCUAUACUCCUGAUAUCUUGGUUUAGGGGACUUGGUGAUAUGUUCACUCUAAUCUCUGCCCACUGUGCUGAGAAGAUGGCCUGGUUGCAGGGCCUAUCUCUGCCAGGUGAAAUAGUGAGCUUGUUUUGGAUUUGGAUACCAAGUAAGAAGGGGACCAGAAUAAUGUCUGUAGAUUAUACAGGACAAAGCCUGGUCAUAGGGGCUCCUGUUGGAGUUUAUUUAGUCUGAUGGCUAAGAGUUUUUUCAUCACAGUAGACAAAGGACUACAAGGGACCGCCAACAGUGUGAGAGGCAGCAAAGCUGCGGGAGGUGUUGCUUCCCCCAAACCCCCAAAUCCCCCGUGUGGAUAGGAUGCACAGCGGAGCUAAGGACCUCAGGGCUUAUGGAAGUUUGUGGGAGAUUCUGCUGAGGCCAUUGCUUCCCAGAGGGCUCCUUCUCAGCAGGCUCAGCGAGCACAAGCCCUGCACCCUCCUCUAAAAGUCACCGUGUCCAGUGCAGCUUAGAAUGAGGCAGGUUCCCCCACUUACCGUAUUUGCGGAUGAUGAGUGCACUUUGCAGUGUCAAAGGGGAAACACAGAAGCUCCACUGUAGCAGGCAGUGAAACUUUAAUUGCUCUAGGUUUAGAAGACUAGCUCAUCAAGUGUAUGACCUCACUUCCUUCCACUCCCAACAACUGUGAUACGAUGAAUCUCUGCAGGACCCUCAAAGGACUCAAGGACCGAGGAUGGGAACCAGGACUGAUGUCAACUGGUUCCAAACUGGAGGUCCAUCAGAGGCCUCCACAUUUAUCUAUGUGAGGCUGUUAGGUUUUUACACUGGCCACCGUGACCACAAAAGUGCAGCACUGGCCCUGGCCUCAAGGCUGAUGUUAAAGUUGUGAUCCCUCAUCUAUACGACUGGAACUGCAUAGCAGUAUUUCCUGGGUCAGGGGACCCUGACCUUGUGCUAUGGAGUCUGGGCUUGAGCUCAUGAAUGCUAUGGCUGUGAGUCUUCUUAGAUCAGCCCUGCUGGCUGAAAUCUGUAAGGAGACGAGAAAUGUCCUCGGUCAUGAUUGUGUUCACCUCUGCCUGUCACUGGAGGUCCCCACCAAAGCCAAUUUCUGGACAGUGGAAAGCUAUGAAUAUCUACACUGUACAAUUAAAUUCAGAGUUCCCAGAGAGGCGGCACUUCCCCAGCCAAAGUACAAGGUCCUAACAAUGUUUAAUCUUGAUUGUCAGCUUCAGUCAUUGCUCAAAAGUCAUACCCUAGAUGCACAACAUGUCAAGGGUGUCUGUUUAGGUCUCAGGCCAGAUACACGGGAGAGCCAAUUGAGGAGUGGUCACUCGCCCAAAGCAAGUGCCUCCCUUCUUCCCUCAUUCCUCACACACAUCCGGGGUGUGAUGGUUCAUUUUCAUUUUCAAAUCGAUGGGAUUUAGAAUCACCAUGGAAACACAUCUCUGGAGGAGACAAUGAGAACAUUUCCAGGUAGGUUUAACUGAGCAGAGAAGACCUACCUUGAGCAUGGGCAGCACUAUUCCAUGGCUUGUGGUCCCAGACUGAAUGAAAAGGAGAUUGAAUUGAGCGCCAGUGUUAUUCUCUCUCUGCUUCUCGGCUGUGGCUGCUGUUGCACACGCCUGCCGCCGUGCUAUCUUCACCACAGUGGACUGUGCUGUACCCCUUCCUAAACCACAAGCCCAAACAAAUCCCGCCUCCUAAAAUUGGUUCUAGUUAGGUGUUUGGUUAGAGCAAUGAUAGUCUAUCUUCUCAAGAAUAAUCACAGAAGUCACACAUGGCUUUCUGGUCACGAAGGAUACCAGUCCACUCCUUGUAAGGCUGGGAUGAAUCUUAACUGUCCAGUUUGCUUCCUUUCUGGACCCUAUGCACUUUUGCCCUCAGUUACAUGCAGCUUGAUGAGGUCUUGAAUGAGUUACAGGUGACUGGUGAAGCGUUGUCUGGGGCCCAACAUGAGCCUGCAUCUCUGAACUCUGGAAAGGGAAACCAUUGGAUGCAUUUUAAGUUCUUUGCAUCCCUUAUUUAAAUGCGCCCACAGACUCCUGUCAGGUCCAGAGUUUUGCAUGUGGCUAUCAACAGAUACCACACGUAAUGUAGGAUGUCAUUCUGGAUAUGUGUUGUAGCUCCGUGUUGGGUACCAGAUGUAGCUAGCUGUAUCUCCAUCUCAUUGGUAUGCGGACUGGUUUUUCUCCACCCGCCUGUUUCUGAAGCCACUUAUGAAAUAAUCAUUUGGAGUUAAUAUCAGUUACAACUGUUUGGCUAAUCUGUUAGGCUUCUUACUGGCUAGCUCUAACUAUUGAAUUAACUUGUUUUUAUUAAUCUGUCUAUUGUCAUGAGGCUGUGGCUUACAGGGGCAGCACAUUACCCCUUCAGCAGCUAUAUGGCAUCUCCUUCGACUCUGCCUAGUCUCUCUCUCUGUCUCUGUUCAGAUUUCCCACCUGACUUUACUUUGCUAAGCCAUUGGCCAAAACAGCUUUAUUAAUUAAACAAUAAAAGUAACAACAAAUAUUCAGAAGCACAUCCUACAUUACACACAGGCUUUGUGAUGGCCCAGUCCUGUGCUUACAGGAAUUUUGCUUUGGAAUUUCCACUGAGAAUCUCCACUCUGGUAAAAACUGUAGAAGCAAAGCAUUUUUUUUUUUUCUCUCUGUCCUUGCUCAGGGUACUGGCUGGGGUCUCAGAGACUUUCCUCUGGGUGCUAAUGUAUGUCUGUGGGUGAAGUACUGUCCCUGGGUGUGGCACCAAAAACAUGCAGUAAAGUCAGCUAAAGGUACACAGUCAGCCAUGAUUGACAGAUCUGGUGACAAGGUGGGCCAUAGAGUCUUCUCAUGUGAGGGUCAUGGCUUAGAACACAUGGUGUUGAUCUGAGAGAUACACCCUUGCUAGUUAUAGGGAUUUGAAUGUUAGCAAAGAGCAAGGAAGCCAUGGCCAUGUGAAAAGGGAAAAGAGGCCUGGAUGGUGUUUUGGAGAAAGGCAGUUUUCUGUGUGUGGGCAGGCAUAGCCACUUCUAUUUGCCCCUUUAUGCACAUGCUCUCUUCACACCCGCCCCGUGUGGGCGUGGCUUCCUCAACCCACCCCUGUGUGGGUGUGGCUUCCUCACACUUGCUCCUAUUUGGGCGUGGCUUCCUCACAACCGCCCCUAUGUGGGCGUGGCUUCAUUACACCUGUCCCCCCACAAUGGGCGUGGCUUCCUCAUACCCGCCCCUGUGUGGGUGUGGCUUCCUUGCCACUGCCUCCAUGGGGGCAGUUCCUCUCCAGCUGAAGGAGGAAGUGCUGGACCAGACCCCGCGUGGUGCUGCCACUACAUCUUCCAAGAUGUCACCUGGAAAGCUCAGGCUCUGGGUGCUCACCUUCUCUGACUCCAGUGGGUUUGCUCUCCUCAAGUGUUGUCCUCGCCAGGAGUAGGUUUGCAAGUGGAAGACGGAGGACAGGAAGAAGAGCAGAUGCUGGCUGCCUCCAGAGGCCCUUGCUGGGUCCACACCUGGAAUCUGUGGACUCCAGGUGCCCUCAGAAUUGUCUCGGUGCUUUUCAUCCCACACCUUGGUUGUGACAUGCUCCCUACAUCUCCUUGAUUUCCACCUUCUCUGGCCCCUUCCCCACUUAUCAUUUCUGACGUUGCUGGAUGCAUAACUCUCUGCUGCUUGUACCAUGCCUCAUUUUAUUAUAUUAAAGAUUUCAU